rnacentral:rRNA from 1 species
AUGCUUAGCAUGACCACUGAUGUCUUGACAAUUAUACCCUUGAUUUUUAAAAUGCUUCGACUACACGUCGAAGGAAUAGCGAAAAACCAAAUUGCGGUCUAUGAUCCGCUCAGGAAAUGGAUGGACAACUGCUACCGCGGGGUACCCCUCGGCGGACUAGGUUCAGGAAGCAUAGGGAGAAGCUACAGAGGGUACUUUCAGCAGUUUCAAAUAUUCCCCAGGAUAUACGAAGAGAAGCCUAUCCGCCCAACCAGUUCUCACAGGGGAAUAGAUAAAGCCGGUAUCGGGUCUUGGGACUGGAAGCUGAAAGAGAAGAAUUGCAACUACCAUGGCUUGUUCCCAAGAUCUUGGACUGUAUAUGAUGGCGAGCCUGACCCUGAAAUCAAGAUCACCUGCCGUCAGAUAUCGCCCUUCAUCCCUCACAACUACAAGGAGAGCAGCUUUCCCGUCGCGGUUUUCACUUUUACGGUGCAAAAUUCUGGGAGCACACCUGCGGAUGUCACAUUGCUCUUCACAUGGGCAAAUUCCGUGGGUGGAAAAUCAGAACUGACGGGGAAUCACAUCAACUCCAGAAUCAAAGCGCGCGACGGCGUCCAUGGCGUCCUUCUACGCCACAGGACGGCGGACGGGAACCCUCCGGUGACGUUCGCGAUCGCGUCGCAGGAGACCGGCGACGUCCGCGUCACCUGCUGCCCGUCCUUCGCGAUGGGCCCGUCCAGCCCCGGCGGCCGCGACCAGUUCACGGCCAAGGACAUGUGGGACGAGGUCAAGAAACAUGGUUCCUUUGGUGAGGCCGCCGGCGGGGCGCCGAAUGCGUCGUCGGGGCCUGGAUCGUCUAUUGGGGCGGCGGUCGCGUCGACGACGACGGUGCCGGCGGGGGGCACGCGCGUGGUGUCGUUCGCGCUCUCGUGGUCGUGCCCCGAGGUGAAGUUCCCCGCCGGGAGGACCUACCACCGGAGGUACACCAAGUUCCUCGGCCUGGAUCGAGACUCCGCCGCAGAACAACUGGCUCACGACGCCCUUCUCGAACACAUGGAGUGGGAGUCGAAAAUCGACGAGUGGCAGAGGCCUAUCCUGCAGGACAAGAGGCUGCCUGAAUGGUAUCCGGUUGUACUGUUCAACGAGCUCUACUAUCUCAACGCUGGAGGCACCAUUUGGACAGAUGGGCUGCCUCCGAAGAAGACCAGCUUUGCCUCGUCAAAGUACGGGUCGACGACGGAGUCCUUCACUCUCGACGGGUUCCGCGCAGGUGAUCUCGCUGUGGACGGUAUCCUGAGCGCAAUGUCGACGGCGGAGGAGCGGCUGGAAUCAUCGUCGGCGUUCGGCGCGGCCCUUCUCGGCGACGGCGAGGAGAACGUGGGGCAGUUCUUGUACCUGGAGGGGAUGGAGUACCACAUGUGGAACACCUACGACGUUCACUUCUACUCCUCCUUCGCGCUGAUCUCCCUCUUCCCGGAGAUCGAGCUCAGCCUCCAGCGCGACUUCGCCCGCGCCGUCCUCCUCCACGACCCGCGCCCCAUGCGCACGCUCGACGGCCUCGACGUCCCACGCAAGGUGCUCGGCGCCGUGCCGCACGACAUCGGCCUGGCCGACCCCUGGUUCGAGCUGAACGCGUACAUGAUCCAUGACCCGUCGCGGUGGAAGGACCUCAACCCCAAGUUCGUCCUCCAGGUGUACCGCGACGUCGCCGCCACCGGGAAUGUUGCGUUCGCGACGGCGGCGUGGCCGGCGGUGUACCUGGCCAUGGCGUACAUGGACCAGUUCGACCGUGACGGGGACGGUAUGGUGGAGAACGAGGGCCGGCCCGACCAGACGUUCGACCUGUGGUCCGUCUCCGGGGUCAGCGCGUACACCGGCGGUCUCUGGGUCGCGGCCCUUCAGGCGGCGGCCGCCAUGGCGCGCAUCGUCGGCGACCCCGGCGCGGAGGGGUACUUCCUCGAGCGGUACAAAAGGGCGCAGCGCGUGUACGACGGCGAGCUCUGGAACGGCUCCUACUUCGACUACGACAACAGCGGCGGCGCGACUAGCAAGUCCAUCAUGGCCGACCAGCUCGCCGGGCAGUGGUACGCGCGCGCGUGCGGGCUGGAGCCGGUCGUGGAGGAGGAGAAGGCACGCAGCGCGCUGGGGACGGUGCUGGACUACAACGUGAUGCGCGUGCAGGGCGGCGCGGUGGGGGCCGUGAACGGGAUGCGGCCGGACGGCGCCGUGGACGCGUCGUCGCUGCAGUCCAAGGAGGUGUGGGUCGGGGUCACCUACGGCGUGGCCGCCGCCAUGCUCCACGAGGGCAUGCCGGAGGCGGCGUUCCGGACGGCGAAGGGCGCGCACGACGCCGGGUGGGGCAGGGACGGGUUCGGGUACGCGUUCCAGACGCCGGAGGCGUGGACGUCCGACGCCGGCGGCGGGUACCGGUCGCUACACUACAUGCGGCCCCUCUCCAUCUGGGCGAUGCAGUGGGCGCUAUCGCCGCCGGAGCUCCAUUGGGACCUCCGGGUGGUUCCGGGUUCGGUGUCCGCCGUAGCGUCGCCGGCGGAGGUGGACCUGGCGCGGGAGAAGUUCGAGAAGGUGGCGAGCAUGCUGAGGCUGCCGGAGGAAGUGCAGCACAAGGGGUAUCUCAGAGCUAUCUACCAGGUACUCCGGCAGAUGCUGCUCCCGGAAUCCUGA